CAAUAGCGUAUAUUAAAGUUGUUGCGGUUAAAAAGCUCGUAGUUGGAGUUCUGCCAGGUGACACUCGUCCGCCCAAGUGGUGUGUACAGGGUGUGCAUCUGGCCCUUUCAAGGGGAACGUGUCUGCACUUCAUUGUGUGGUGCGAGAUCCUUGACUUUUACUUUGAGGAAAUAAGAGUGUUCCAAGCAGGCUCUCGUCGUGCAUAGCUCAGCAUGGAAUAAUAGCAUUGGACUUCGUUUCUACGCUGUUGGUUGCAAGAAGCGAGGUAAUGAUGAAGAGGGAUAGUUGGGGGCAUUCGUAUUUAACUGUCAGAGGUGAAAUUCUUGGAUUUGUUAAAGGCGGACUACUGCGAAAGCAUCUGCCAUGGAUGUUUUCAUUGA
rnacentral:rRNA from 1 species